CCUGAAAGGGCAGGGUGCCCGCAAGGGAGCGUGGAGACAGGUGGUGCAUGGCUGUCGUCAGCUCGUGUCGUGAGAUGUUGGGUUAAGUCCCGCAACGAGCGCAACCCUCACCCCUAGUUGCCACCGGGUAAAGCCGAGCACUCGAGGGGAACUGCCAGCGUCAAGCUGGAGGAAGGCGGGGAUGACGUCAAGUCAUCAUGCCCCUUACGUCCUGGGCUACACACGUGCUACAAUGGCCGGUACAAAGGGAUGCGAGACCGUGAGGUGGAGCCAAUCCCAAAAAGCUGGUCUAAGUUCGGAUUGCAGUCUGCAACUCGACUGCAUGAAGUAGGAAUCGCUAGUAAUCGCGCAUCAGCACGGCGCGGUGAAUACGUUCCCGGGCCUUGUACACACCGCCCGUCACACCACGAAAGCUGG
rnacentral:rRNA from 1 species